rnacentral:lncRNA from 1 species
UCUUCUUUGGAGCUACCUCAUGUAUCCUAGAUCAGACACAUAAUUCUCUUGCUACUUUAACUACAAAGAGAUAUAUGAAAGAAUAGUAAUUUAUAUACUUUACCACAAGGAAGAAAGUGAAGAACUGUAGCAACGAUUUCUUAAGUUGUGAGAUGUGACGAACAUGUAAAGAGCAUAUGAUUAAGUUACAAUGAGUAAAAGAAACAUUACUUUCCAUGGCCUUCAAAAUACUGGGG